rnacentral:rRNA from 1 species
CAGGACGAACGCUGGCGGCGUGCUUAACACAUGCAAGUCGAGCGGUAAGGCCUUUCGGGGUACACGAGCGGCGAACGGGUGAGUAACACGUGGGUGAUCUGCCCUGCACUUCGGGAUAAGCCUGGGAAACUGGGUCUAAUACCGGAUAUGACCUCCUAUCGCAUGGUGGGUGGUGGAAAGAUUUAUCGGUGCAGGAUGGGCCCGCGGCCUAUCAGCUUGUUGGUGGGGUAAUGGCCUACCAAGGCGACGACGGGUAGCCGACCUGAGAGGGUGACCGGCCACACUGGGACUGAGACACGGCCCAGACUCCUACGGGAGGCAGCAGUGGGGAAUAUUGCACAAUGGGCGAAAGCCUGAUGCAGCGACGCCGCGUGAGGGAUGACGGCCUUCGGGUUGUAAACCUCUUUCAGCAGGGACGAAGCGCAAGUGACGGUACCUGCAGAAGAAGCACCGGCUAACUACGUGCCAGCAGCCGCGGUAAUACGUAGGGUGCAAGCGUUGUCCGGAAUUACUGGGCGUAAAGAGUUCGUAGGCGGUUUGUCGCGUCGUUUGUGAAAACCAGCAGCUCAACUGCUGGCUUGCAGGCGAUACGGGCAGACUUGAGUACUGCAGGGGAGACUGGAAUUCCUGGUGUAGCGGUGAAAUGCGCAGAUAUCAGGAGGAACACCGGUGGCGAAGGCGGGUCUCUGGGCAGUAACUGACGCUGAGGAACGAAAGCGUGGGUAGCGAACAGGAUUAGAUACCCUGGUAGUCCACGCCGUAAACGGUGGGCG